rnacentral:hammerhead_ribozyme from 1 species
AUCCAGAUGAUGAGUCCCAAAUAGGACGAAACGCGCUUGCUGGAU